rnacentral:rRNA from 5 species
AAUCCAUAGGUUAAUGAGGCGAACCGGGGGAACUGAAACAUCUAAGUACCCCGAGGAAAAGAAAUCAACCGAGAUUCCCCCAGUAGCGGCGAGCGAACGGGGAGGAGCCCAGAGCCUGAAUCAGCAUGUGUGUUAGUGGAAGCGUCUGGAAAGGCGCGCGAUACAGGGUGACAGCCCCGUACACAAAAGCGCAUGUGCUGUGAGCUCGAUGAGUAGGGCGGGACACGUGGUAUCCUGUCUGAAUAUGGGGGGACCAUCCUCCAAGGCUAAAUACUCCUGACUGACCGAUAGUGAACCAGUACCGUGAGGGAAAGGCGAAAAGA